rnacentral:sRNA from 1 species
CCCUGAUGGCAGCGAAAAUCCCUUUUGGGUUAAAGAGGGUUACUUAUCCAGGCAAUGUUCCCCAAAAGGAUUGCAGCGUACAGCAGGACGGAAC